rnacentral:rRNA from 1 species
AUUGAACGCUGGCGGCAGGCUUAACACAUGCAAGUCGAGCGAGCGGCGGACGGGUGAGUAAUGUCUGGGAAACCGACUGAUGGAGGGGGAUAACUACUGGAAACGGUAGCUAAUACCGCAUACCACUAGAUGCGCCCAGAUGGGAUUAGCUAGUAGGUGGGGUAAUGGCUCACAUAGGCGACGAUCCCUAGUUGGUCUGAGAGGAGGACAAGCCAAACUGGAACUGAGACAAGGUCCAGACUCCUACGAGAGGCAGCAGUGGGGAAUAUUGCACAAGGGGCGCAAGCCUGAUGCAGCCAUGCCGCGUGUGUGAAGAAGGCAUUCGGGUUGUAAAGCACUUGCAGCGAGGAGGCGUUACUCGCAGAAGAAGCACCGGCUAACUCCGUGCCAGCAGCCGCGGUAAUAC